GCUGGGCACGGUGGCUCAUGCCUGUAAUCCCAGCACUUUGGGAGGCUGAGAUGGGAAGAUUGCUUGAGGCCGGGAGUUCAACACCAGCCUGGUCAACAUAGUAAGAUCCCAUCUCUA
rnacentral:SRP_RNA from 2 species